UCUGGUGAUGAUGGCGAAGAGGCCACACCCGUUCCCAUGCCGAACACGGAAGUUAAGCUCUUCAGCGCCGAUGGUAGUCGGGGG
rnacentral:rRNA from 1 species